rnacentral:rRNA from 1 species
UACGUAGGGUGCAAGCGUUUAAUCGGAAUUACUGGGCGUAAAGCGUGCGCAGGCGGUUAUGUAAGACAGAUGUGAAAUGCCCGGGCUUAACCUGGGAACUGCAUUUGUGACUGCAUGGCUAGAGUUUGGCAGAGGGGGUGAGAAUUCCACGUGUAGCAGUGAAAUGCGUAGAUAUGUGGAGGAAUACCGAUGGCGAAGGCAGCCCCUGGGUCAAUACUGACGCUACAUGCACGAAAGCGUGGG